rnacentral:lncRNA from 1 species
UUAUGCUAAACUUCAAGAAGAGGAACAACAUAAAAUGUGAGAGCACAUGCUAAAGGAUAGAGAACAUUCAAAAGACAAAAGACCUUCAAUUGGACACCCAGUAACGAGUUGCAAGGAAAAACCUCCAAAGAUGGCAUGAAAGAAAACAUUCCAAGGCUGAGAUUUGACAGCAUAACACAAGAAGGCAAUUGCACUUGACCAACUUGAAACCCCUAUGGACGCCUAGAAAGUUCAGCAACAGAAAGAAGCAAGAGGGGAUGAGUGUUUGCAGCUCUGUCUCGCAGCCAUGGCACUGAGAAGGAACUAAGUGGCAUUCACAUCUCAGCAAUUCUUUGCUAUAUGGUAGAAAACAUGCUGACAUUCAUUGGCACUGAGUCCUAGAAGAUGUAGCUGGCCAAAAGAUUUCAGCCUGAAGGAAACCAUGUGCAACACUUUUGGGAGAACAUACCAGUCAUCACUCAGGAAAAAACUGCUUCUCAGAUGAUAUCACAGUCAGUCUUUAUUGCCUAUUGUUUGGAGAUAAAUAGCUGUUUUUCUCUAAUGAGACAUGAUAAGUGACUUUCAGGGCUUUCCCCAGGAAAGGAAAGGAUUUCAGAAAGAAAAGCUAAGUCAUCUGCCUUUCCCUGGCUAUAUUUUGUAAGUAAGUCAGACUACAUUCUUAGGAUUUUUAAAACAUUUUUUUAUUAAUUUUUAUUCCUUUUGACAUGUUUUUAUAGUAAAAUAACAGAGAAUAAUGUAUUACAAUGCAUAUAGAGUGAAGUCCUUCAACAAGCUGCUUUAACACAUUUGCUUUCUUGCAACAUAGCCAUCUCUCACUGAAAAAUGAAAGUUUCAGGAAUUAUGGCUCAUUAAAAAAAACUCAGAACCUCAGAAAAAGCAACCAUGAGUGUGUUUUAAAACUCUUCUUCUAAGCCUCAAAAUUCCUUACAAGUAAAGGAAUGAAUGUGAUUCCUAUUAAUGAAUAGAAAUUAUUUUUAAAAUAACUAACAAACUGUGUUGGCUCAAAACACCCAUCUUCUG